GCGGGUGUAACUCAAUGGUAGAGUGUCAGCUUCCCAAGCUGAAAGUUGCGAGUUCGAGCCUCGUCACCCGCUCCA
rnacentral:tRNA from 3 species